rnacentral:sRNA from 1 species
GCGGACCCCGGUGCCUAGGCGCUCCUGUGCCUCCAGUGCGCGGAGCCGGCCUCGCUCGGGCGUGUUCCUGCGCCGACCGGACGGCCGGACUCCAGCGCCUUGGCCCGGCCCGCGAACGCUGAGCACGCGCGGAAACCCUUUAAAGAUAGGAAGUGAAAUCAAAUGGAUGUUGGUGAGUACCCUACGGCAACCAUUGCUUCAUUUCAUGGUUCAGAGUGAACUCUAAUCUGGAAGCCUUCCUUAGGUCAUUCCUGCUUCUGGGAUCCAACUCUAUGUUGUGCUUAAGAAAUGUGUCACAUCAGACAGAGUGAAUCACAAGACAGAGAUAUUUACCUAUCACAUAAGUAUUUUAUUAGAUUUCAAGAAUGAAGAGGAACAGUUUAUCUGUUGGGAAUAAAAUUGUCCAGUUGUCAGGAGCAGCGAAACAGCCAAAAGUUGGAUUCUACUCUUCUCUCAACCAGACUCAUACGCACACGGUUCUUCUAGACUGGGGGAGUUUGCCUCACCAUGUAGUAUUACAAAUUUUUCAGUAUCUUCCUUUACUAGAUCGGGCCUGUGCAUCUUCUGUAUGUAGGAGGUGGAAUGAAGUUUUCCAUAUUCCUGACCUUUGG